rnacentral:misc_RNA from 1 species
GCAGAUGCUCCCUAAUUUAAUUAAUGUUAUUUUGUUUUAAUUUUGUAAUGUUGAUUGUAUUUAAUACCAAGAGUUUUGUAUUUAUAAAUGAUUGUUUUUCUCCCCGCUUCAUGGAGUGUAUCCAGUAUAUGCUUAAAUAAAUAAGUAAAUGUAAAUAGAAGAUAUUGUCAGGCUCACUAAUUCGCAUACAAGUAACUCAAAGAGUAGAGCUACCAUUGGACUUUCCAUAGAUAUUCUUAUUUUGCAUAUAAGCUAUAGAAAUAAUGGCCGACAAGAAAUCAGAAAAAAGAAAUCAGCUCAUUCAAAAAUUAAAUGAAGACUUGAAUGAUUACAUUUCUAAUCUUAAGCCAAAGAAAUAUGAAGAAGGUUGGGCAGAGGAUAAAUGGGAAGAAGAAAUGGAAAAGCAUCCGGUAUUUAGGACACAACCGAUAAAAGAAGGAGAAGAAGUUUCACCCCUGAUAGAAGCCUUACAACAAUUAAAAUAUGAUCCAAAUGAAAAUACUCCUGAAGAGUUAGCAAAAAAUUAUAAAGAAGAUGGUAAUGAAAAUUUUCGUUUAAAGAAAUAUCGUUGGGCCAUUGACUGCUAUUCGGAGGGCCUUAAACAAAAUUGUCAAGAUGCCGACCUGCGUGUCCAAUUAUUUACAAACAGAGCAGCAGCACAUUUCCAUUUAGGUAAUUAUCGUUCAUCUCUAAAUGAUGCUAUUGAAGCAAGAACAUUAAAAACAACACAUAUGAAAGCGAUUGUUAGAGGUUCUCUGUGUUUUUUUGAAUUAAAAUUAUAUAAAGAAUGUAUUGAAUGGUGCAGUGAAGGUUUAGCUAUUGAUAAAGAAAAUGAAACAUUGAAGGAACUCAAAAUAAAUGCAAUGAAACUGAAGAAACUUAAAGAACAGGAAAUGAAGCAAAAGUCUUUACAAAAUAAAAAAGAUGAUGAGAGUAAUAGAAAGUUGAAACAAGCUAUAAUGGAAAGAGGGAUUAAAAUUAAACCAAGAAUGCCACAUCUGGAACCGGAAUGGGAUAUUCACGAUCUAGAAACUAGUCAUCCUGCAGCUAAACAAAAUGUACAUUUGGAUAAAGAUAACAAUCUCAUUUGGCCUGUUUAUUUUCUUUAUCCAGAAUUUGCUGAAAUGGAUUUUAUACAAGAGUUUGGUGAAAAUACAAGAUUUUUUGAUCAUCUGAAAGUCAUGUUUGGGUCACCAGAAAAUCGGCCUGAAUGGGAUAAAACAAAUUCUUAUAUUCCAGAAAAACUACAGAUAUACUUUGAAUAUAGUGAGGAAGAUUGUUUAGUGUCUGUUAAUAAAAAUUCUACUUUACAAGAGAUUCUUAGAGAUGAUAGAUAUUGGGUAAAAAAUGGAACACCUGCCUUCAUCAUUAUGGUUCAGAAUUCAGAAUUUGAAAAAGAUUUCAGAGGAAGAUAUAAAAAAGUUUUGUAAUAGAUUUUUACAGUACAUUAUUUAAAAUGCAAUAGCCGUUGUUUCACUUAUCUCAAAUUUUUCUGGCUCAGAAAACUCAUUUUCACUAACUUUAUAUAUGAUAAAUGAAAAAAAAAACAACAGAUAAUUUUUUAAAAAGUUUGGUUUAAUUACUGUAUAAAUGCAUUUUAUAUCAGUUGGCUCUAUCUUCAUAUAUAAAAUCACAUUGAAUGAAAAUUGAUGUAAGGGCUUUAUUUGAAGAUGGAACUGAUGCUACUCCUAAAUCUUUUAUAUAAUAAUUAGGCCAGACCCACAAUUGGAAUGGUUGACUGAUAAGGGACAGACCCAUCAUAUCCUGAAUGAACCACCCCCUGAAAAAUUACCAGAGAGUUACUUUUACGUAUUCUAUGCUGGAUCCCUAACAUCUCGGCCAUCUGUCUGUCAUAUCUUUAAUGUUAAUAUUUGCAGGAAUAUAUUUUAGCAUUAAAAGAUAACGAACUAAAAAAUACUAUUAUCAGCAAAUAUUCACUUUUAUCUAAGAAAACAAGUAAAAUUUGAUGAU